rnacentral:lncRNA from 1 species
GAGUGGUUUGGAGCCACUAAAGGCAAUUAAAAGCUGGUGUGUGCGCUGGGCGUCCAAGCAACCCCACUCUAGUGCUUGAAUUAGGGAGAUGCAGCAGCAGGAGAGAGGCAAGGAUGGAGCUGGAACCAGAUUAGUCCAUCGAACAGGGCACGGUCGACGAGCGAGAGCCAGCGAGGGUGGCCCUAGAUCUCUGGCUGCAGUAACUUGGUUGAUGUUGGUGAUAUUUAAUGAGAUAGGAAAGGUGGGCAGUGUGGUGGGGCUGGGGGACAGAUUUGGGAAGAGCUUUUGAGGCCUCCUUCAGACCCAGGAAUCUCUCUUCAGCCACAUGGCUUUGAAUGGACUCCAAAAUGUGUGUUCUUAAAAAAAAACAAUAAUUGAAUGUGGCUUUUGUUAAUAUCAGCUCUUCCUCUUCCCUCCCUUCUUUUUUUAAAAACAUUUUAUUGGUUCCUUUCCUUUCCCUUCCUUUGAAGUGUCCAGGGCCAGCAGACCUCAGACCUGGGGCCAGGGAGGGAGCAGCAGAGCCAGAAGCAGGGUAUACACAGGGGAAUAAGCAGGUAAUCCAAGAAGGGGAUUACCCUUCUUGGGGG